rnacentral:lncRNA from 1 species
AGAAGCUGGAGCCAUGGGCGGGACCGCUAGCACCCGCCGGGUCACCUUCGAGGCGGACGAGAACGAGAACAUCACGGUGGUGAAGGGCAUCCGGCUGUCAGAGAAUGUGAUCGACCGGAUGAAGGAGUCCUCUCCAUCUGGCUCUAAGUCUCAGCGAUAUUCCAGUGUUUAUGGUGCUUCAGUUUCUGAUGAAGAAUUGAAAAGAAGAGUAGCCGAGGAGCUGGCAUUGGAACAAGCCAAAAUGGAGUCGGAAAACCAGAGACGCCUUAAGCACGCCAGGGACCUAGAAAGAGAGAAAGCUGUGGCCAAUGAGCAGCUGACCAGAGCUAUCCUUCAGGAAAGAAUAUCCAGUGAGGAGAACCGCACAAAGGUGAAGCAUCUGGAUAUUGAAGACAAAGCUCGGCAGCUGGAAGAGAAAGAUCGAAUGAUACGGAAGCAGGAUGCGUUCUACAAAGAGCAGCUGUCCAGACUGGAGGAGAGGAGCUCAGAAUUCUACAAAGUUACUACCGAGGAAUAUCAGAAAGCUGCUGAAGAGGUGGAGUCCAAGUUCAGGCGGUAUGAAUAUCAUCCAGUCUGUGCAGAUCUGCAGACCAAAAUCCUUCAGUGUUACCGUCAGAACACCCAGCAGACCCUCAGCUGCUCUGCUCUGGCCAACCAAUACAUGCACUGUGUCAACCAUGCCAAACAGAACAUGCUGGAGAAGGGAGGCUAAAGUUACCCUGAGAACAUGCGAAGCUCCUUCAACGUUAAUUCCAGAGGUGGAACAUUUUUUUUUUCGUAGUCUGAAAAUGACCCAAUUAAAGAGAAGACCACUAAAAACAGACAGGCACUGGAAUGUGGACUCAACUGAAUCAUAACGUGUUUUGAUCAACAGUUUAAAAAGCCACGGUUUAGAUCAGUCAUCAGAGAACACUGUUAAGUGUUAAUGAAACUACAAAAUGAAUAAAAGAGAAAGAGGUCCACCCCA